rnacentral:rRNA from 1 species
UACGUAGGGUGCGAGCGUUGUCCGGAUUUAUUGGGCGUAAAGAGCUCGUAGGCGGUUUGUCGCGUCGGCCGUGAAAUCUCCACGCUUAACGUGGAGCGUGCGGUCGAUACGGGCAGACUUGAGUUCGGUAGGGGAGACUGGAAUUCCUGGUGUAGCGGUGAAAUGCGCAGAUAUCAGGAGGAACACCGGUGGCGAAGGCGGGUCUCUGGGACGGUACUGACGCUGGAGACGGCGAAAGCGUGGGGAGCGAACAGG